GUGGGUAGUUUGACUGGGGCGGUCUCCUCCCAAAGCGUAACGGAGGAGCACGAAGGUUAGCUAAUCCUGGUCGGACAUCAGGAGGUUAGUGCAAUGGCAUAAGCUAGCUUGACUGCGAGCGUGACGGCGCGAGCAGGUGCGAAAGCAGGUCAUAGUGAUCCGGUGGUUCUGAAUGGAAGGGCCAUCGCUCAACGGAUAAAAGGUACUCCGGGGAUAACAGGCUGAUACCGCCCAAGAGUUCAUAUCGACGGCGGUGUUUGGCACCUCGAUGUCGGCUCAUCACAUCCUGGGGCUGAAGUAGGUCCCAAGGGUAUGGCUGUUCGCCAUUUAAAGUGGUACGCGAGCUGGGUUUAGAACGUCGUGAGACAGUUCGGUCCCUAUCUGCCGUGGGCGCUGGAGAAUUGAGGGGGGCUGCUCCUAGUACGAGAGGACCGGAGUGGACGCAUCACUGGUGUUCGGGUUGUCAUGCCAAUGGCACUGCCCGGUAGCUAAAUGCGGAAGAGAUAAGUGCUGA
rnacentral:rRNA from 1 species